CGUCAGAUAUCUCAGUGGUCUAGAGCAGUCGCCCGGCAAGCGAAAGACCCGGGUUCGAUUCCCGGUCUAGCGA
rnacentral:tRNA from 1 species